AUUGAACGCUGGCGGCAUGCCUAACACAUGCAAGUCGAACGAGGGUAGCAAUACCUUAGUGGCGGACGGGUGAGGAAUACGUAGGAAUUUGCCCUUAAGUGGGGGAUAGCCCGGGGACACCCGGAUUAAUACCGCAUGAUCUCGAGAGAGCAAAGUCGGGGACCUUCGGGCCUGGCGCUUUUGGAGAAGCCUACGUCGGAUUAGCUUGUUGGUGAGGUAAUGGCUCACCAAGGCCGCGAUCCGUAACUGGUCUGAGAGGAUGAUCAGUCACACCGGAACUGAGACACGGUCCGGACUCCUACGGGAGGCAGCAGUGGGGAAUAUUGGACAAUGGGCGAAAGCCUGAUCCAGCAAUGCCGCGUGUGUGAAGAAGGCCUUCGGGUUGUAAAGCACUUUAGGCUGGAAAGAAAAAGCUUUGGCUAAUAUCCAAAGCCUUGACGGUACCAGCAGAAUAAGCACCGGCUAACUCUGUGCCAGCCGCCGCAGUAAUAC
rnacentral:rRNA from 1 species